GGCGUGGAUGGGGAGCCAUGCCCAGAGGACUAUAAGUACAUCUCCGAGAACUGUGAAACGUCCACCAUGAACAUCGACCGAAACAUCACUCACCUGCAGGUGAGACACAGGCCCCACCGGGCUCGAGGGAGCAGGGGCUGAAGGAGCCUGAUGUGGGAGUCCCUCCACACUGGGGCACAUGAAGACUCCCCCUCUCGCUGGGACCGUCACCAGCCAGCGUCCUGAAACGAACCCAUGCUCCAGGGGAGAGCCCUCUCACUCACACCACUCCUUCCCGCCCAGCACUGCACGUGUGUUGACGACUGCUCCAGCUCCAACUGCCUGUGUGGCCAGCUAAGCAUCCGAUGCUGGUAUGAUAAGGUGCGUGUCCCUCACCUGGCCACUCCCACCAAGGAGCCAGGACCCUGCUCUGUUGGGGAAGAGAUACAGGGUGUAGCAGGAAGUCCUGGUGCCCUGCCAGGAAUGCAAUGGGCCUCUCUGCUCACGUAUAUGCAAAUGGACGCUGGUGCCCGCCUGCACACUUCCUGGUCUCUGACCUCAGCCUGCAGACUCUGCACCGUCCUCUCCUGCUCUGGGCUGGGGUCAGAGUGGAGUUUCCUGUGGAGUCCUCUGGGUCCUGGGCAGCUGAAAUGGGCCCCACAGAGAAACCACUGUCCCCUCCCUCCGCACCCCAGGACGGGCGGCUGCUCCAGGAGUUUAACAAGAUCGAGCCCCCCCUGAUCUUUGAGUGUAACCAGGCAUGCUCCUGCUGGAGAAGCUGCAAGAACCGCGUGGUGCAGAGCGGCAUCAA
rnacentral:lncRNA from 1 species